GCCAUCAAAUAUCUUUUUCUUUAGAAAUUUUGAAGUUUCUGACAUACUCUUUGUAAGAAUUUCAAAAUUCUCAUCAGUGGAACAUUGACAGUAUGUAAUUUCAGCAUAUUUUCUUCUCUUUACUGCUUCAGUACAUUCGUUAUCCCACCAAGGAGGAGAAGGAAUAAAACCCAAAGAGCUAUUUUUACUUGGAAAUAUCUCAUUGGCAACCUCAAUAAAGAUUCUUGCUAAAGAAUCUGCACACUGAGAUUCUGUACCUGGAUUAAUUUUUGGAAGUGUUGGAAAUGAUAAUAAUAGUGGGAAGUGAUCACUACCAAAAGUAGAUCGUAAUGGAUCCCAGGACAAAGAAGAAGCAAGAUUAGGUGUAGUGACUGUUAAAUCUGGAGCACUUGGGCCCUCGUCAGGAUGAGAACGUCGUGUAGGACGACCAUCAUUUAAUAUACACAAAUUCACUGAAUCAAAUGUAUCUAUUAAUGUGUUACCAUAACUAUUAGAAGAUAAGUAACCCCAGGAUUCAUGGCGACAGUUAAAAUCACCAAGGAUCAUAAAAGGCUUCGGAAGAAUGGAAAUAAUAUCUUUAAUUUCAUUUAAGAUUGCAGAAGAAGGAUGAGGUAUAUAAAUAGAUACAUAACAGAUAUUUUCAACUAAAGCAGCAAUAAUAGAAAAAUCAUUACUGUGAGAAGGAAUAGAGAAGAGAGAAAAGGAAAGAGGGUGUUUCACAAGCAUGGCUACUCCGCCAUGCCCAUCCACACGAUCUUCUAUGAGACAUGAAUAACCACAAAUCUUAAAUAAAGAUCCUGGUUUCAACCAUGUCUCUUGAAGAGCACAGAUAUAAGGUUUAUAUUUAUUUAAUAAAUAAAUAAGAUCACUUUUUUUAGGAGUGAUGCUUUGACAAUUCCAUUGACUUUGUCCAUUAUUUGGUUUAUAAAUUUGAGUAAUUGCAGAAACUAAUAAGGCAGCGUUGGACGGUGAAAAUUCAUUCGAUUGACUAAGAGAUUUUAUAAGAGAAAUAAUUAAAUCAAUUACUGAGGAUUCCAAAG